GGGCAAGAGGUUCGACCCGAGCGAAGCGAGAGAACGUUGCGUCAGCAACGGCCCGCAGGGCGAGCCACGCAGUGGCGAGUCAUCCUCUAUCACCGACCA
rnacentral:sRNA from 3 species